rnacentral:rRNA from 1 species
UUCCGGUUGAUCCCGCCGGAGGCUAUUGCUAUCAGGGUUUGACUAAGCCAUGCGAGUCGAGAGGUGAAAGACCUCGGCAUACUGCUCAGUAACACGUGGAUAAUCUGCCCUCAGGUGAGGAAUAAUCCCGGGAAACUGGGGCUAAUGCCUCAUAGGUUACAGAUGCUGGAAUGCUCUGUAAUCAAAAGUUCCGGCGCCCUAGGAUGGAUCUGCGGCCGAUUAGGUUGUUGUUGGGGUAAUGGCCCAACAAGCCAGUAAUCGGUACGGGUUGUGGGAGCAAGAGCCCGGAGUUGGAUUCUGAGACACGAAUCCAGGCCCUACGGGGCGCAGCAGGCGCGAAAACUUUACAAUGCGGGCAACCGUGAUAAGGGAACCUCGAGUGCCUGUAAAUGCAGGCUGUUCAGAUGCCUAAAACACACCUGAAGAAAGGGCCGGGCAAGACCGGUGCCAGCCGCCGCGGUAAUACCGGCGGCUCGAGUGGUGGCCACUUUUAUUGGGCUUAAAGCGUUCGUAGCUGGGUUGUUAAGUCUCUUGGGAAAUCUGGCGGCUUAACCGUCAGGCGUCUAAGGGAUACUGGCAAUCUUGGAACCGGGAGAGGUGAGGGGUACUUCGGGGGUAGGAGUGAAAUCCUGUAAUCCUCGAGGGACCACCUGUGGCGAAGGCGCCUCACCAGAACGGCUUCGACAGUGAGGGACGAAAGCUGGGGGAGCAAACCGGAUUAGAUACCCGGGUAGUCCCAGCCGUAAACUAUGCGCGUUAGGUGUAUCGGCGACCACGAGUCGCCGAGGUGCCGAAAGGGAAACCGUGAAACGUACCGCCUGGGAAGUACGGUCGCAAGGCUGAAACUUAAAGGAAUUGGCGGGGGAGCACCACAACAGGUGGAGCCUGCGGUUUAAUUGGAUUCAACGCCGGR